UUAAGCUGUAGAUUAGUUGCUGGUAAAGUAUGGUUUCAGCUUCAAGGUUAGAAAUAUCAAAUAAUUAUUUCGUAGAAGCACAUUUGCAAAAGGUCUUUGAAAUUGAUGGUAUGAUGAAGGUGUGUACCAUAUAAGAAGUUGGCCAAUGUUUUUGGUUGACGACGAUGCGAACAUUCUUGUCUCAGAUUGUGGGUUAGCCCUGUGAGUCAGGUAUACUGCUAAAACCCAAAGAUCUUGGUUCUUAUGGUUUAACCUUUUCAUUCUCCAAGAUCCAAAACAACAAACUCCUUUUUUUCUUAUCAUCAUGAUCAUUUAUCAGGACCAACUACUAGCCUCCUAUGUACUAUGGAGCACCAGAAUUUGACUCAGGAGUCUAUU
rnacentral:lncRNA from 1 species